rnacentral:rRNA from 1 species
AGUCACUGACAUUAGAUACCCGGGUAGUCCAGGGUGUAAACGCUGCAGACUUGGUGUUGGAGGCCCUUUGGGGGCAUUCAGUGCCGGAGAGAAGUUGUUAAGUCUGCUACUUGGGGAGUACGUCCGCAAGGAUGAAAACUUAAAGGAAUUGGCGGGGGAGCACCGCAACGGGAGGAGCGUGCGGUUUAAUUGGAUUCAACACCGUAAAACUCACCAGGGAAGACUGUUACAUGAAGGCCGAGAUGAAGACUCUGCUAGAUUUUCAG